UCCUGAUAGCUCAAAUGGCAAAGAUUCUGCCUUCAAUGCAGAAGACCUGGGUUCAAUCCCUAGGUCAGGAA
rnacentral:tRNA from 1 species